UAACAUAAUAAAUAUUAAUAUUAUUUAAUAAAUUUUAGAAACUCCUGUGAGUCCGCGCGGGUAGGUACCACCGCCCUGCCUAUUUCUGCCGUGAAGCAGCAAUGCGUUUCGGUUUGAAGGGUAGGGCAGCCGUUGUAACUAUACUUGAGACCUUAGAACUUGGUUGAAAGCUGGUUGGAAGUGUUCUUGUAGAUUAAAAUAUAAAUUAAAUUUUUAAAUGAAAAGAAAAGUAUUUUGUAUACUGAUAGAAAACAUGUUUGCAUAAUAAAUAUAAUAAUACUUUAUUUCCAAAAACAAAGAAAGAAAAAAAACACCUUAUCAAAUAAAAAAAUACAAAAUUAAAUAUAAACUUGUGUUAUUGGAACCCCAUUCGGGUAUAGGCCUCCUCCAGCUUACUCCACUCUUCCCUAUCCUUGGCUUUGUUUCUCCAUUCUUUUCCAGUUGCUGCUAUUAUUUUGUCGAUUCAUCUGAUCCUUGGUCGACCUCUUCUUCUUUUGCUCAUUCGGGUAUAGGCCUCCUCCAGUUUACUUCACUCUUCCCUAUCCUUGGCUUUGUUUCUCCAUUCUUUUCCAGUUGCUGCUAUUAUUUUGUCGAUUCAUCUGAUCCUUGGUCGACCUCUUCUUCUUUUGCUCAUUCGGGUAUAGGCCUCCUCCAGUUUACUUCACUCUUCCCUAUCCUUGGCUUUGUUUCUCCAUUCUUUUCCAGUUGCUGCUAUUAUUUUGUCGAUUCAUCUGAUCCUUGGUCGACCUCUUCUUCUUUUGCUCAUUCGGGUAUAGGCCUCCUCCAGUUUACUUCACUCUUCCCUAUCCUUGGCUUUGUUUCUUCAUUCUUUUCCAGUUGCUGCUAUUAUUUUGUCGAUUCAUCUGAUCCUUGUUCGACCUCUUCUUCUUUUGCCCAUUGGUCCUUCCCAUGUUUUGAUUUCUAAUGUCCAUCUUUUGUCUUCUUGUGAAUUGGCGGUAGUUCUUUUGACGUUCAACAAGUAUGUACUUGACUUUUUGGCGGGAACGCGAGGAGUGAAGUUGUGUGAUUUGUUUUAUUUUGUCUAUUUAGUGUUUCUUCAGGUUUAAAUGUGUAAUAAUAGUGGUUGCUUAACUGUUUAAUAUCUGUGAAAGUGCACAAAUGUGGGAAAAUGAAACAAAGCCGCUCGACGUAACUUCACGGGAUCCUCCAAAAAGUCCACUGAAAAAAUCUUAGUAAAUGACCACCAUUUUACUGAGAUUAUAUUUCAUCCCAAAUCAUCUCAUAUCAUUUCAUUUAAUUUCAUCCCAGUUGAUUAAUGUCUCAAAUUAAUCAUCUUCAUUUCAUUUCACUCCAUAAUAUAAUUUUUUAUAAAAAUAUGAAUAUAAAUUAAAAUAAGACAUGACUUAAAGGUCUCAGUUACCAGGUCAUAAAAUCCAUUAAAAAAAAAAAGUAUGUACUUUCAUUUAUGUUGAAUAAAUUUUUUUUGUUUUGGUUUGAUUUGAUUUUAUUUGUCCGUAUAUCUCGCAAGAUGUCCUGCCCAAUGCCACUUUUGUGUCAGAGCGUACCUGAGAGCAUCUAUCAGCUUUGUUUUUUCUCUAAUGUAUUCGCUUCUUAUCCUUUAUAUUUUUCUUAUAUUCAAUAUACUUCUUUCCAUAGCUUUCUGACCGGUCGCUAAUUUUGUUUUUAUUUUUGUGUUGCAAGUUCAUGUUUGGCAUUCACAUAAGAGAGUCGGUAGGAUACAGGUAUCCAUCACAGACUUUUUCAGAUAAAGAGGGAAAGACCCUUUUAGAAUUUCCUUUUACAUAAUAUUAUCUAAUCUUAUAAGUCAUUCAAAGUAUAAAACUCGUUUUCUUAAAUAAUUUAGUCACUUCAACAGGGACGUCUUAAACUAGGUUGGGGCCCUUGGGCACACAAGAAUUUGAGGCCCUUUUGGAAGGUAAGAAAAGCGAAUUAUAAUCACAUUUUUUUACUGAGUAUGACCAUUUAUUUUAGGUAAUCCAAUACAGUAUGAUAUAAUAUGUCAUUAAUGAUAUUAGAAUGCUGCUGGAUUUUUGGUUACGAUUUCGAUAACGGUUUCUUUCGGGAUUUCUGUUGAGCAAAAUCUUCUAUUAUAUAGGCAUAGUAUAUGCCUUGUAAAUACCUUCUGAUUACUGAUUUGUGAAAAAAGUGUAAUGUGUCCGACAAAAAUGUUUUGAGAAUAAACGUGUGAGAGAAAUUGUCGGUCUUUCGGGGCCCCCUGAGAAUGGGGGCCUUGGGCACGGGCCCCGUGUGCCCUUAUGUUAAAGACGGUAUUGCACUUCAAUUUGAAGGUGCGUAAUGUUCACGAGUUCCACUAUGAAGGUAGGUAUAUAAAGCUGUUUAACACGUUCAAUGUCAUAUGAAAAAUCGAGUAGUUUCAUUCACGCCACGGUGCUCACCGUGAGCCUUGUCUUACUGAACCGUUCGGGCCGCGAGGGUCACCCGUGAGCCGCGUGAGGUUUCCAACGUGAACGCUUCCUACAAGCCACAGAUGGCAGCUAUCAAACAACACGCCUAUGGAAGUGAGCCGCGUAGCCCUUUAGUCGAACCCAACGCCUUGAUUUCUAGAUCCAAUAGAAACUUGUAGUUUUAACAAGAUUAUAUAUAUAUUUAUAUGUAUUUUUACUGGUGGCAGGACCCUCUAGUCCGCGCGGGUAGGUACCACCGCCCUGCCUAUUUCUGCCGUGAAGCAGUAAUGUGUUUCGGUUUGAAGGGCGGGGCAGCCGUUGUGACUAUACUUGAGACCUUAGAACUCAUAUCUCAAGGUGGGUGGCGCAUUUACGUUGUAGAAGCCUAUGGGCUCUAGUAACCAUUAAACACCGGGGGGGCUGUGAGCUCGUCCACCCAUCUAAGUAAUAAAAAAAAUACCUUAAAAUUUAUAUGGUAAAAGUCGCAAAUUUCUUAUCUUUCGUGCAUAUUAUCGCAUUCUAUAAAUUUCAGAAUGAAAAUCUCAAGUUGAUAACAAAUUAUCGAUUCCGUGAUUUUGUCUUGGCCCGAAUGUUAUAAGUGUACGCUAGGCAGACCGGUUUGCCGCAUGGUAAUCAACGUUUUAAUAAAAAUCACGGAUAACACCCACAAAAAAUGAAACUAGCAAAUAUUUAUAAGCUAGGUACCUACACCACCGUCUUGCCUAUAUCAGCCGUGAAGCAGUUUUUUGGAACGAAGUUCCUUAUCGCGCGUUGUGAAAGGGGGCUAGACGGAAAAAAUUCUUACGAAAAGUUGUCACGACACUUUUUAGAUCCGUCAUUCUGACCAAUCAACGUGUAGGCGCUUAUCGCGUGACAUCGCUCGUAUCCGAUUGGUACGCGUAAUGAGUACAGUUCCUCGAGAUAGCGUUUCAACAAUAGUAAUUUAGUUCAUAGUAUUGUUUUUUUCUUCUUCAUAAUGCCGUAAUUUAUUAUUAUAACUUAAAAAAAAAUACAAUUCCUUCACUAAUUAAUCGAAAGGAACUUCGUUCCAUCCGGGUGUCCCUUGACACCUCUGAAGUUUUUUUUCCUACCUAAGCUGACAAGCCUUGAGGCUAUUUCAGCGUAACCUUAACUAGUAGGUGAACUCACGGGGCUCAAGCCUGACGAUGUUGCUAACACGAACCCUAGCAAGAGCCGUGCUUCGCAUAAUCUACCACCGGAUCGGAAACGCGACUCACUGAGAAGAUCCGGCGAGAAAAUCAGUGGGCUGUGUCUGUGGGUUCAUUUACUCGUCGAGCCCUUCGUCGCAAGCGACUGGUUCGACGAGAACGAUGACCGGGUGAAGCAGUAGGUACUACUGGUCGCUUUGAUUAGAACGAUUAGAACUAAGGCUUACGCCCGGUUCCAAUAUCCAAAAAACGAAUCGUUUUAUAUUACGAUCCGUUACAAUAUCUACGAAUCGUAGGACAAAAUAGUUCCUAUAAAAACGACUCGUUUUUAAAAUUACUGAUGACUUGCUACUAACGGAUGGGAGGGCUAACAUAACGGAAUCAUGGAAUAUCUCCCUUACAUUACAAUUUAUCAGUUUUUUUUGGUAUUUUGGCGCGGUCCGGCCGAUAUCUGGCGUUUCCUUUGUCUCUUCAUGGCGUUUUGUUCACUUUAAAGUUAAAACUAAAGUAAGUGUUUUUAAAUUGUGAAUGUUCAAAUAAAAUUACAUAUGUGAUGAAUUACAAUUAAUUUAUAUUAUUUUAAAAUAUUUAUGUAAAAAUACUAAUAAAAACUUAUGUAUUUUGAAAA